GGCAACCCUGACGGAGCAACGCCGCGUGGGGGAGGAAUGUCUGUGGAUUGUAAACCCCUUUUCUCAGGGAAGAAGCUCUGACGGUACCUGAGGAAUCAGCAUCGGCUAACUCCGUGCCAGCAGCCGCGGUAAGACGGAGGAUGCAAGCGUUAUCCGGAAUUAUUGGGCGUAAAGCGUCCGUAGGUGGUGAAUCAAGUCUGCUGUCAAAGCGUGGGGCUUAACUCCAUAGAGGCAGUGGAAACUGGUUGACUAGAGUGCGGUAGGGGUCGAGGGAAAUCCCAGUGUAGCGGUGAAAUGCGUAGAUAUUGGGAAGAACACCAGUGGCGAAAGCGCUCGACUGGGCCUGCACUGACACUGAGGGACGAAAGCUAGGGGAGCG
rnacentral:rRNA from 1 species